AAGUCGUAACAAGGUUUCCGUAGGUGAACCUGCGGAAGGAUCAUUAACACAUCCUUUACAAUUUUCCAACGAGCGCACCCUCGAUCCUAACAGGCUUUGGCUUGGGAGUUAUGUGCAGUUCCUCUUUUUCUGAAAAAGAGAAAGGCUCCCAGGAUGUUUGUCCACUUAGCUUGCGCUUCGGCGUGGGCGGUUGAGGCGAUACACUGACUUGUUAGGUGCCUUACAGCAUCUGUGCAUGGCUGGCCCUUUUUUUUUCUUUUACCAUACCUUCUAAGCACUUAGAAUGCUUUUCGACGCUUGAUGGGGAUCGAGCUCUUCGUGAGUUCUCUUUCUGACAGCACGAUUGGCGACCCUUGUGCAAGUCCUCCGGGCCUUGUCCAUUGGAAUAAAACACAACUCUUAACAGCGGAUAUCUCGGUUCUC
rnacentral:misc_RNA from 1 species